rnacentral:rRNA from 1 species
CCACGCCGUAAACGAUGGGUACUAGGUGUUGGUUCAUCAAGAAUCGGUGCCGCAGCUAACGCAUUAAGUACCCCGCCUGGGGAGUACGGUCGCAAGACUGAAACUCAAAGGAAUUGACGGGGGCCCGCACAAGCGGUGGAGCAUGUGGUUUAAUUCGACGCAACGCGAAGAACCUUACCAAGACUUGACAUCCCGUUGGCCGGAUAUGUAAUGUAUCCUUUUCUUCGGAACAACGGUGACAGGUGGUGCAUGGUUGU